rnacentral:rRNA from 1 species
UACGUAGGUGGCGAGCGUUGUCCGGAUUUACUGGGCGUAAAGGGAGCGUAGGCGGAUUUUUAAGUGAGAUGUGAAAUACUCGGGCUCAACUUGAGUGCUGCAUUUCAAACUGGAAGUCUAGAGUGCAGGAGAGGAGAAUGGAAUUCCUAGUGUAGCGGUGAAAUGCGUAGAGAUUAGGAAAAACACCAGUGGCGAAGGCGAUUCUCUGGACUGUAACUGACGCUGAGGCUCGAAAGCGUGGGGAGCAAACAGG